AAGCUGGCCGCACACGAUGCAUGAUUUUCAUGCUUACUCUCUUGCAUGCUGAUCAAUGCAUGUUACUUUGCUCGGCUCGCUGCAUAAACGUCAUCACACGAAGGUGGCAACCGUGGUGGUUCAGUUGUAAUGAUGCACAGAAAUCGAAACACUAGAGGCGAGAAGUAAUAAUACAGACUGUCAAAGAAGACAAUAACCAACUAUAACCUAUACAUCUCUUGCGCAUGACUGAUGCCAAUCAAUCACGUGAGUGAUUCUUAACGUUUUGAUUGGCGCGUGCAAGAAAACGAGCAUGAAAUAAUGCACCAUAUCAAACAUAAAAAUCAAGGAUGGUAGCAUACUUCGCUCAAUGCAUCAAGGUGUUUAGCACGCAUCAGAGGAGGCACAGCAGCAUGUAAGCCCAUUAUGCAGGAAAUCGUGCAUCGUGUGCGGCCAGCUUUA